rnacentral:rRNA from 1 species
AUUUUGGACAAUGGGGGCAACCCUGAUCCAGCCAUCCCGCGUGUGCGAUGAAGGCCUUCGGGUUGUAAAGCACUUUUGGCAGGGAAGAAACUGCUCUGGCUAAUACCUGGAGCUACUGACUGUACCUGCAGAAUAAGAACCGGCAAACUACGUGCCAGCAGCCGCGGUAAUACGUAGGGUGCAAGCGUUACUCGGAAUUACUGUGCGUAAAGCGUGCGCGGGCGGUUUGGCAAGGAGGAUGUUAAAUCCCAGGGCUUAACCUUGGAACUGCAUUCUUAACUGCCAGGCUAGAGUAUGUCAGAGGGGGGUAGAAUUCCACGUGUAGCAGUGAAAUGCGUAGAGAUGUGGAGGAAUACCGAUGGCGAAGGCAGCCCCCUGGGAUAAUACUGACGCUCAUGCACGAAAGCGUGGGGAGCAAACAGG